GUUCGAUCCUGGCUCAAGAUUGAACGCGCUGGCGGGAUGCUUACAUGCAAGUCGAACGGCAGCACGGACUUCGGUCUGGCGGUGGCGGUGGCGAGCAGGUGAAGGUAAUGUAUCGGAACGUGCCUAGUAGCGGGGGAUAACUACGCGAAAGCGUAGCUAAUACCGCAUACGCCCUUCAGGGGAAAGCAGGGGAUAGCCGGGCCUCGCACUAUUAGAGCGGCCGAUGUAUCGGAUUAGCUAGUUGGUGGGGUAACGGCUCACCAAGGCGACGAUCCGUAGCUGGUUUGAGAGGACGACCAGCUUCACACUGGGAUUCUGAGACACGGCCCAGACUCCUACGGGAGGCAGCAGUGGGGAAUUUUGGGACAAUGGGGAAACCUGAUCAGCCAUCCCGCGUGUGCGAUGAAGGCCUUCGGGUUGUAAAGCGCUGCAGCGGGAAAGAACUGGCUGAUAAUACCCCGUGCAACUGACGGCCACCUGCAGAAUGGCACCGGCUAACUACGUGCCAACAGCCGCGGUAAUACGUAGGGUGCAAGCGUUAAUCGGAAUUACUGGGCGUAAAGCGUGCGCGAGCGGUUCCGGAAAAGAUCGCCCGUCAGGCUUAACUUUGGAACUGCAUUUUCAACUACCGAGCUAGAGUGUGUCAGGGAGUGGAAUUCUGCGUCAUAGCAGUGAAAUGCGUAGAUAUGCGGAGGAACACCGAUGGCGAAGGCAGCCUCCUGGGAUAUGCUGACGCUCAUGUGCACGAAAGCGUGGGAGCAAACAGGAUUAGAUACCUGGUAGUCCGCCUAAACGAUGUCAACUAGCUGUUGGGGCCUUCGGGCCAUGGUAGCGCAGCUAACGCGCGUGAAGUUGACCGCCUGGGGAAGCCACGGUCGCAAGAUUAAAACUCAAAGGAAUUGACGGGACACCUGAAAAGCGGUGGAUGAUGUGGAUUAAUUCGAUACAACGCGAAAAACCUUACCUACCCUUGACAUGUCUGGAAUCCCGAAAGAGAUUUAGGGAGUGCUCGCAAGAGAACCGGAACACAGGUGCUGCAUGGCUGUCGUCAGCUCGUGUCGUGAGAUGUUGGGUUAAGUCCACAACAAGCGCAACCCUUGUCAUUAGUUGCUACGAAAGGGCACUCUAAUGAGACUGCCGGUGACAAGCCGGAGGAAGGUGGGGAUGACGUCAAGUCCUCCGUGGCCCUUAUGGGUAGGGGCUUCACGUCAUACAAUGGUCGGACCUUGGAGAGGGUCGCCAACCCGCGAGAGGGCAAUCCCAGAAACCCGAUCGUAGUCCGGAUCGCAGUCUGCAACUCGACUGCGUGAAGUCCCCGGAAUCUGUCGCGGAUCAGCGUAUCCAUAGUGAAUACGUUCCCCGGGUCUUUGUCACACACCGCCGUCACACACCAUGGGAGUGGGUUUUACCGAAGUAGUUAGCCUAACCGUAAGGGCGAUUACCACGGUAGGAUUUCUGCAUGACUGGGGGUGAAGUCGUAACAAGACAG
rnacentral:rRNA from 1 species